UGCAGUCGAACGAAGUACAAUACUUAGUGGCAGACGGGUGAGUAACAUGUACCUAUUUGCCCUUUGGCCUGGAAUAACACGAGGAAACUUGUGCUAAUACCGGAUAAGUCUUUACGGAGAAAGCUUUAUGCACCAUUGGAUGAGCCUGCACUUGAUUAGUUUGUUGGUGGGGUAAUGGCCUACCAAGACUGUGAUCAAUAGCUGAUUUGAGAGGAUGAUCAGCCACAUUGGGACUGAGACACGGCCCAAACUCCUACGGGAGGCAGCAGUGGGGAAUCUUGCACAAUGGAGGAAACUCUGAUGCAGCGAUGCCGCGUGAGUGAAGAAGGCCUUUGGGUUGUAAAGCUCUUUCGUCGGGGAAGAAAAUGACUGUACCCGAAUAAGAAGGUCCGGCUAACUUCGUGCCAGCAGCCGCGGUAAUACGAAGGGACCUAGCGUAGUUCGGAAUUACUGGGCUUAAAGAGUUCGUAGGUGGUUGAAAAAGUUAGUGGUGAAAUCCCAGAGCUUAACUCUGGAACUGCCAUUAAAACUUUUCAGCUAGAGUAUGAUAGAGGAAAGCAGAAUUUCUAGUGUAGAGGUGAAAUUCGUAGAUAUUAGAAAGAAUACCAAUUGCGAAGGCAGCUUUCUGGAUCAUUACUGACACUGAGGAACGAAAGCAUGGGUAGUGAAGAGGAUUAGAUACCCUCGUAGUCCAUGCCGUANACGAUGUGUGUUAGACGUUGGAAAUUUAUUUUCAGUGUCGCAGCGAAAGCGAUAAACACACCGCCUGGGGAGUACGACCGCAAGGUUAAAACUCAAAUGAAUUGACGGGGACCCGCACAAGUAGUGGAGCAUGUGGUUUAAUUCGAAGAUACGCGCAGAACCUUACAACACUUGACAUGUUCGUCGCGACUCUA
rnacentral:rRNA from 1 species